GGGUCGAUGGCGUAGCUGGUUAUCGCAUCUGUCUAACAUUGAAUUUUGGAGGGAUAUACCUAUGUUCACAGAAGGUCCUCAGUUCGAACCUGGGUCGACUCA